rnacentral:lncRNA from 1 species
AUGGAGUUUACUGGCAAGGGCUCAAUUUGCAAACAUUUUUCACAGAUUGGCAUAGCCUUUAAACGCAGUCCCGACGCCCUCCCCAUGCCGUGGGCCUCGGCACUCCCGCCCACCCCCAGCGCUGGCAGGCCAGGCGAGGCGCGGCUUGGAGCCGCCCAUGGUCCGGGGUGGCUCAGGGCUGCUCGUGGUUCGGGGUGGUUCGGGGCUGCCGUGGCACGGCCGCGGCUCACACUUCCAGGUUGGCUCGGGUUGGCCACCGACUCCCUCCCAGAGCGGCGGCACAGCGGCAGGGUCCGCCACUCCCCUCAUUCCCAGCGCAGCAGCAGGGGAUGCCGCUCCCCUUGCUCCCGGUGCAGCGGCACGGCGGCGGGGUCCGCCACUCCCCUCCUUCCCGGCACGGCAGCAGGGGUUGCCACUCCUCUUGUUCCCGGCGCAGCAGCACGGUGUCAGGGUCCACCAUUCCCCUCCUUCUCGGCAUGGCGGUGUGGCAUUGGGGUUCGCCGCUCCCCUCCUUCCCAGCGUGGUGGUGGGGUUCACCGCUCCCCUCGCUCCCGGCACGACAGCAGGGACCGCUGGGGUUCACCACUCCCCUCACUCCCGGCGUGGCGGUGGGGGCUGCCGGGGUUCACCACUCUCCUCACUCCCGGUGCGGCAGCAUGGAGGCAGGGUCUGCCGCUCUCCUCCUUCCUGGUGCAGCGGCUGGGGCCGCCGCUCCCCUCCUUCCCGGUGCAGCAGUCGGGGCCACCGCUCCCCUUGCUCCCGGCGCAGCAGCAGGGGCUGCUGCUCCCCUUGCUCCUGGCAUGGCGGCGGGGGCUGCCGCUCUCCUCCUUCCUGGCACGGCGGCGCAGGCUGCCCGCCUCCUUCCCCACGUGCCGCUCCUGCCGGGCCGGGGCUGCCCGCUCCUGCCCCCCAUACAGCUCGGCGUUUCCGUGGCACCGGUCCCCCUCACGGCUCCCACUUCCAGAUUGGAAAGUUUCGCAACUUUGUCCACUAUAUAAGGCGCACUAG